AGAGGUGUCUCUCAGUGGUAGAGCACCUGCCCAGCAUGCUUGAGGCACUGGGUUCAAUCCCAGCACCACAU
rnacentral:tRNA from 1 species